rnacentral:rRNA from 1 species
AGUGAGGAAUAUUGGUCAAUGGGCGAGAGCCUGAACCAGCCAAGUCGCGUGAAGGAAGACUGCCCUAUGGGUUGUAAACUUCUUUUGUAAGGGAAUAAAAAAGAGUACGUGUACUCUAUUGUAUGUACUUUACGAAUAAGGAUCGGCUAACUCCGUGCCAGCAGCCGCGGUAAUACGGAGGAUCCGAGCGUUAUCCGGAUUUAUUGGGUUUAAAGGGUGCGUAGGCGGACCCUUAAGUCAGUGGUGAAAGUUUGCAGCUUAACUGUAAAAUUGCCAUUGAAACUGAGGGUCUUGAGUGUAAAUAAGGUAGGCGGAAUGUGUUGUGUAGCGGUGAAAUGCUUAGAUAUAACACAGAACACCAAUUGCGAAGGCAGCUUACUGGGAUACAACUGACGCUGAGGCACGAAAGCGUGGGGAUCAAACAGGAUUAGAUACCCUGGUAGUCCACGCAGUAAACGAUGAAUACUAACUGUAUGCGAUAUACUGUAUGUGGUACAGCG